UGUGAGUUCAGGCUGAGCUCAGAGCCAGGCCUAGGCCGGGGGGGAUGGCUCGGAGCGGGGCUGUGGCUCGUCCCCGGGGCAGCGUGUUCAGCCCCGCCGGUCCCUGUGCGGAAGCUGUGGUGCAGCUGAUCCCCCAGAAGCUUCUCAAGGGCAAUUAUGGUUGGUCAAUGCCAGCUUCAAGGUCCUGCAGCUGGGCAUGCCUGGCAGGAGGCAGCAGCUGGGCUGUGUUCCACAUUUAUCUCCACGGGUGGGAAGUUUGACUCAAGAAUCUGUGUUCCAGUGACAUCUCAGAGCUCCAGCCAGGGCUGUUUGACUGCCAACACUGCCCAAAACUCAGACCCCAGCUGGAAGCUCUCUCCUGGAGAAGAGGACUCCACAGGAGCUGAGGGUUUUCUUGCUGGCUAAGGGGGGAAAAAAGAUGUCAGUAAAGUUCAGCUGAACUUCUGGGAGCUUUAUCUGCUGCACUUGCAACUAACUCAAGGAUUGCAACAAGAGGAACCUGAGAGUGCAGCUGACUGAUUGCAGGAGCUGAGCAAAACAGAAAGAGCAAACAGCACUCCAGAAAUGACAGACUGCUGCCCUUGGUCUUCCUUCAGCCUUGCUCAGGUGAAGUGUGAGGAUGUUCCCUUCAGUUCCUGCUUCCCUCUGCUGGCUCAUCACAAGAUGCUGUUGCUCUUCCUGCUUUUGAACCAACCUGGAAGCUACAGUGGGCACAAACUUGGACACAGAAGUUCCAUCUGAACAGGAGGAGGAACUUUUGAGGGUGCAGAGCCCUGGAGCAAGUUGUGGAGUCUCCCUCUCUGGUAAGGUUCCAACCCUCCCUGGCCAUUGUGAUCCUGGGCAGGCUGCUGUGGGUACUCCUGCUUUAACAGGGGGGGUUGGACUGGAUGAUCUCCAGAGGUCCCUUCCAACCUUUCUCCUGUCAGCCUACAGUGGCUGACUCAGGGCUGCUCCUCCCUGUCCACCUGCCCUCACUCACAUCUGUACUGGGGCAGAAAACAAAGUGUCUAAAGCCAUCCUGCAGGGCAAAGCCAAGCUUCUGGGGGAGGCAGCACCAGAUCCUGCUACUACUAUGGCAACAUGGCAGAGCAGAGGACCUGUUGCCAUGCUACUGUGAGGAACAGCUCCAGCAGCACAGCCCAGAGCCGCCGAGUGGCUGUGCUGCAGGUUACAUAAGAGAGGCUGCGCCGCGGGGACCUGGCCCUGUGCUGCUGCUGCUGGCUUCCAGGGGAUGCAGCUCUCUGGAGAAGCUGCAGGUGAGGCAGUUCAGGUAAUAAAUUGAUGGUGGCUUUGGUUUGUUGAUCCAGAGCUUCAUCCUGCAGAACCUUGCUUCUGGCAGUUGUAGCUUUAGGGGAUGUGGUGGCAGCUCCAGGGUUACUAAACCUGGAGCAGGCAACAGUGGUUGGCCUUUUAGAGCUAAGGACAUCAGCCCUCACUCCUGAAACAGUCCAGACCAGGCUGUUUGGGGAAUUCUGCAUAACUGGAGGUAUUUGUGGAGCUGAUGGGGGCUGUGUGGGGCUGGUGGAGGUGACUCUGCUGCCCAGUAA